rnacentral:lncRNA from 1 species
UAUUUUAGGUUCGGGAUACAUGCACAGGUUUGUUUUAUAGAUAAAUUGCUUGUCAUGUGGGUUUGUUGUACAAAUUAUUUUGUCACCCAGAUAGUAAGCAUAGUACUUGACAGGUAUUUUUUCUGAUCCUCUCCCUCCUCCCACCCUCUAGCCUCAAGUAGGUCCCAGUGUCUGUUGUUCUCUUCUUUGUGUCCAUGUGUUCUCAAUGUUUAGCUCCCACUUACAAGUCAGAACAUGCAGUAUUUGGUUUUCUCUUCCGCAUUAGUUCACUUAGGAUAAAGGCCUCCAGCUCCAUCCAUGUUGCUACAAAGGACAUGAUCUCUUUCUUUUUUAUGGCUGCAUAGUAGUCCAUGGUGUAUAUGUACCGUAUUUUCUUCAGUCUACUGGUGAUGGGCAUUUAGGUUGAUGCCAUGUCUUUACGAUUGUGAAUAGUGCUGCAGUGAACAUACAUGUACAUAUAUCUUUAUGGUAGAAUGAUUUAUAUUCUUUUGGGUAUAGACCCAAUACUGGGAUUGUUGGGUCGAAUGGUAAUUCUGUUUUAAGUUCUUUGAGAAAUCGCCACACUGCUUUCCGCGGUUACUGAACUAAUUUACAUUCCCACCAGCAUUGUAUAAGCAUUCCCUUUUCUCCACAACCUCACCAGAAACCAGCAUCUGUUAUUUCUUGACUUUUAUUAAUAGCCAUUCUGACUGGUGUGAGAUGAUAUCUCAUUGUAGUUUUGAUUUGGGUUUCUCUAGUGAUUAGUGAUGUUGAGUAUUUUAUAUGCUUGUUGGCCAUGUAGCUUCUUUUGGCUAGGGACCUGUGAGUCUCCCUAGGUUUCUUGCACUUACUAAGCCUUCAACAAAUGGUAGAAGAGUCAAUUCUCUUGGUGUUUCAGAAGAAAACAAUAUCACAGCCCCUCUCCACUGGAUAAUACUAUAAAUCUUAAAAUGAAUUUUCAUUCAGAGUAAUAAACACAAGCCAAAGAACUUUGUAUAACAUCCGUCAACUUUUUGUGUUAUCUAUUUCUUUUCCAAAACAUUGCCUCUGGUUUUAAAGGUAACUGCCCACAGUGUUUCACUAAUAACAUUUUAAGCAUUACAAGUUCAACACUGAAGGUCAAAUGACAACGAACUUUCAGUGCUUCCAAAAGCAGGGGCAGAGGGCAACUGCUGAGGGGGGCAUUGUAUAGCCUAACCUUCCCAGAAUUUGAUUUAAAAGUAUGAUCUUCACAGCGUUGGCCAGCAAUAUCAUGGUCACUCCCUACGUCAUUCCCUGGGAGAAAAACAACCCUAGGUUACCUAAACAAUGUUGGCGAAGACCAAAUAUUUAUUAACAUCCUAAGCCGCCCCAUAAUCAAGCCAAUGCUGAUAGGGACAAAGAAGGUGCCAUGUGCAGUUUUUCUCCAUGUCCCCACAAUAUCUGCUCUGAAUUUUAAAAGGCAAUUACUGGGGGAGAAGGAAGCCUAUAUAUUAUGUAGGAUCCAAGUCUCAAACUGCUUUCCUAGGGAGUGUGAGGUUCUUGGAGAUUAAGUGCAGUACCUUUCUGUCUUGAGCCUUGUAGGCUGCCCCUCUAAUUUAAUGCCAGUCUUGAAAUAAACAGAAUGCUUUCCAAGUCAUCGCUAAUUUUAACACUUUAAAUUUAGAAUUGCUUAGAAUUGACUCAACACUGCCUCCUUGCUGAAUGGAUAAUUCAAGCAAACAACUCAAGAGCUGGAUGCUGCCCAGACAGGUAGGCAGCCAGAUAAAGUGAGUGUCCAGGGAAAGAGCAGUAAGGGUCAGAAGAGAAAGAGCCUGGUGUUCUCACUGCCUCCUGCCUUCCUUAUGACUGUCUGUUCAGAAGUCCUCCUAGCAUCUUUCUUCUGCCUUCCCCUGCUCCUGUCCCUGAAACCUUUUCUUCAAAAGAAGUGGAAAAGAGGAACUGGGAACCCAUAUAGCAACAGCAUCACCUGGAAUGAAUUCCUUUAGAACAUACUGUCUUGGAAAUCUGAAGCCUGCAGGGCUGGACAGGCAAGAAGAGCAGUGAGCACUGCAUGAACCUGUAAGUAAAUCUGCAUGUGGAUGGUGUUUUGGGUUUUUUUCAGACAGAGCCUUACUCUGUUGCAUAGGCUGGAGUGCAGUGGCACGAUCUUGGCUCACUGCAACCUCUGCCUCCUGGGCUCAGGUGAUUGUCCCACCUCAACCUCUCAAGUAGCUGGGACCACAGGUGUGCACCAACAUGCGCAGCUAAUUUUUGUAGAGAUGGGGUUUCGCCGUGUUGGCCAAGCUGGUCUCGAACUCCUGGGCCAAGCAAUCGGCCUCCCAAAGUGUUGAGAUUACAGGCGUGAGCUACUGCACCAGGCCACACAUGCUUAUUUUACUCAGUCUUGCCCCUGAAUACCCGAAGGUCUAAACUUAGGAAAAAGUCAGGGGAGGGAUGAGUUUGUCAUUCUUUGGAGUCGUUAUAUUUGGGUGAGUGCUGGCACUAUGGGUAGGAUAUUAUUUAGAAGCUGAGUUGUGUGCUGAGCAAAUGUUUCUUUAAAAACCAAAGCCGUAUGAGAUCUGUUAUAGAGGCACAGUGUGGCUAAAUAGUGUGCGAUAAGAUAAGCAUAGGGCUCCUGAGGUGUUGCUGUUCUCCCACUGUAAUGAGUUUACUCUUCUUCCUAAGGAAAGUGAUCCUUUAUCACCUCUCCUCUCAAAUUCACUGGCUUGUUUCGUGAGUGUGCCUUCAUGGAAUCAUGUCUCCUUCUCUUCCCUCAGUUCUCUCCUUCCCUCCCUUACGUAUGACUCCUCCCAUAAUCCGCACACAUGGAUUGAACCAAGUGAGGGUAUUUUUCUGUUUCCUACCUCAUAGAAGGGCAUAGAGUGGACACGGUCUAAGGUUAGUUCCUGAACUGAGUACCCACAUAUGCAGAACUUUAUUUAAAGCUGCUGAAAUCUUUGUAUAACAGAUAGAUCAAUAGGACUGAAAACUACUGAUGGUUUUACUUACUUGUUGAACGUGACUAAGUUCCAUGGCACCAUUUAGAAAUUGUGUUGUAUAGUUUUCGUAUGUUGCUUAAGAAACAGUUUAGCAUAAUGGUUAAAAGCAUGGCCUCUGGAACUAGAUUGCCUCUGUAUGCCUCAGUUUCCUCAUCUGGGAAUAAUAAUAGUUCUACCUCAUGGGAUUGCUAUGAGGAUUAAAUGAUUUAAUUUAAUUAAAUGAUUUCAUACAAAACUGAAUUGUACUUGACACUUAGUACUCAGGUAUUAACUGGGACCGUUAUUAUCAUCACAGAUGUUGUUUACAAGCACUUGCCUUUGAGAUUUGUUUAGCUUUUUUAUUAAAUUACUAGCGGUAUACUAGAACAGUACGUAGGCUGGGGCCUGGAGUCAAAUUCUAGCUUUGCCUCUUAUAGUUUUGAAACUUUGAGUAAAUUACUUGAUGUGUCUGAGUUUUAAUAUUCUUAUAUGUAAUUUACUUUUAAAAAGAAUUUUGCUUAGUGUUGAUAUACACACAUUUAACACAGUUAUAGAAAUUAUUGUUUUUACUAUUGUCAUAUGAGGAAAUUCGUCCCUGGGUUGCUGUAGGGUGCUAAUGGUUAGGCAAACUCUCUUUGAAGUCUGCCUGAUCUGGCCCCUUGCAGGCAUGUACUCCGAAAUAUUUUUCAAAUGGAAAAGAAAACAGAGAACACAAUUUUCAAAAUAUCUAGAGCCCUCCAAGAAGUCUUUGUAGAGAUCUAUAAAAUCUCAAGGCAAUUUAAAGAAUAGAAAAAUGUUUUAGAAACACUAUUCUCUCCACAUCCUGGGGCAGCAGCCUUCUCCAAAGAAACAGAAAGAAGGAAAUGGAUUGCCUUAGCAAAAAAACAAAUGAAGACACUCCAAAUAACAGAAGAAUGGGAAGGCUACAGACCUUGAAGUCAGAAGAAAAUUUCCUCUCCUUGCCCCGUUUCUCCUUAAAUGGAUCACCAGUACAGUCUCUUACUUCUAGAGCCAUGUUAAGCUUUCUUCCCCAAAGUUGUAAUGUCCUUCUUUUGGUUGUGUCGUGUCCUAAAAUCCUACUCUUUGGUACAAGAUGAAGGUAUAUGAAGAGAUAAUGAAGGAAACAAAUUCAAUGUGUUUGCCAAGAACACAGUCUUUUAAAUAACUCUUAAAGGGUUCGUUUAAAACAGUGUAAUAAAUUGUGGUAAUCUAGUACACAAAGCUAGUAGGAACCUCGUUUAUUAAUAAUAUUUCAACAUUGAGCAGUAGAGGGCAGCACUAUCCUUCUUUUGCAAAAUGUUGAGCACUCUUGAGAAGGAAAAUAAAGGCAAAGCUCCUGACCCCUGUGUCUGUGUUUACUUUUACCAUUAAAAAAAAACAAAAAAUUGGAGUAUUUUUAUUAUGGUUUAGGUGAUUAUGUAUAAAGAAUGUCAGAGCCUGCAUUACCUGGAAGUGGUGCACCAGGUAAUGCAAAAAACACGGAAGGUUUGAGGUCCCCCACUCAGGAUAUGGGUUCUGUCUAGUAAAGAUAAACAGUAGCUUGACCCUGGGUAAUCAGAUAGGGUUAUUGUAUGAACAGACCUAAUGCUCCUGCACGUUCUGGAUAGAAGUCAAUCUACUGAAAUAGCAGGAUGUAGUUUUAAAAAAUGUGUGUAACUCAUAUAGUCUUAGCCCUGAUAAGUGCUUCUAAAUUCUUAUUCACUGCCUUUAUUCUGCUGUGUUAGUGUUGCUCUCUGUCAUACGUGGGUCAGGUCAGAACUAGCUCAAAUACAGUAUGUGUAUUAUGACUUUAAGGAGUGGUGUCAGACAAGAUGGGUAAAGAAUGUCUUUCAUGGGACUGCAGUUGGCUAAAUGGCUGUGUAUAAGUAGUGAAAUUGAAGCCUUGUAUGCUCGUCGUCAUUCUAUCACAGUAUGAUUUGAGUUUCCCUAACCGGUAAACAGCAAGAAAAAAUGAUCUGUUAUUUUUUACUAAAGUUACUUGAUGCUCUUUAGCAAGCUGACAGAAUAAUUCUAAUUUUAGCAAAUACAAAACCAUGGUAAUCCUAGCACAUUUGGAUUCUGUUUAACCCUGAAAACUCUUUUGGCAGCAAAUCUUCAAUGCCAAUUUAGAUAAAUCCCACUAGGAAUAAGCACUGAAAGACGUUGAGUCUAGUUCCCAGCUCUGCCAUGUGAAGUUGGGCAAAUUACAGUCUCUGAGCUUUUAUUUCAUCUGUUAAAUGGAGAUAAUACCUCCUAGAUUUAUUAAAAGGGUCAAUUUAGAAAAUAUGUAUUAAAAUGGUUUGAAAGCCAUUUAAGUACCUAAUGAAUAUUUCUAUCACUGUAGCCCAAAAAGAUUCCUGCCUAGAAGACUUUAUGUCUCUUCUCCUCAUUUGGUAUCAUUCUAUUGCCUGAGAUUGUUAAUUAACUUUUAUGUAUACUCAAUAUUUUCUCCCAACUUGGUUGCUAGUUCCUUGAGAACUGAAACCAUCAAUUGCACUUCUUGGUAUCCUCCACAAUAAGGUAUCUAGGUACUCAAAUAUUUGUUGGUUGAUUAAAAACAUAAACCACAAGACAUAAUUAACUCUUUUUAAAAUUGUGGUAAAAAAACAUGUAUUUACCAUCUUAAUCAUUUUUAAGUAUACUGUAUAUUAGUGUUUACUAUAUGCACAUUGUUGUGCAACACAUCUCUAGGACUUUUUCAUCCAGAAUUCUUUUUUUUUGAGACAGAGUCUUGCUGUGUCGCCCAAGCUGGAGUUCAGUGGCACCAUCCUGGCUCACUGCAACUGCUGCCUCCCAGGUUCAAGUGAUUCUCCUGCCUCAGCCUCCCGAGUAGCUGGGAUUACAUGUGCCUGCCACCACGCCUGGCAAGUUUUUGUAUUUUUAGUAGAAAUGGUGUUUUACCAUGUUGGCCAAGACUGGCCUAGAACUCCAGACCUCAAGUGAUCCACCCGCCUCAGCAGCCCAAAGUGGUGGGAUUACAGGCAUGAGCAACUGUGCCUGGCCUAGCCAUUUUCUAUAAACCUGAAAAUAGAUGCCAGAAAAGAAGGUGCCGCUAUAAAAUGCUUUCUUGAGUGAUUUAUGUCUAACAUACAAUUAAACAUUUAUGAGAAGGAAAUUAUCAGGUUAAAAUAUAAACUCACUUGCCAAUUAUUUGAUUUUCAGGAUAUCUGACUUUUGUUAAUUACUGAAAAUAAAGUAUUAUUUCUAAUCACUA